GAAAAAAUGGGAAAAAAAGGAGUAAUUUAAGUCCAUUUUGAUAAAAAAAGGAAAAAAAAAUGAAAACUAAGUUAAUGAUGAUAUUUUUACUGUAUAUAACAUUUUUCAAUUUUUUAUAUUUUACAUUGAUUUGAAUAAAAGUAAUUAAUUUUUUUUAAAGAAAAUAAGAGAAUGUAAUACAGAACAAAAUGGAGGAAAUGGGAGAUGAAUAGGAUGGAGUAAUUACUAUUUCAAAAAUAUAGGCAAAUGCAUUUAAUUGAAAUAAACACUUGAUUCAUAAAAAAAAUAAAUCAGAUAUUAAAUUCAAAUUUUAAAAUGUU
rnacentral:misc_RNA from 1 species